rnacentral:rRNA from 1 species
UAUCAAUAAGCGGAGGAAAAGAAACCAACAGGGAUUGCCCCAGUAACGGCGAGUGAAGCGGCAGCAGCUCAGAUUUGAAAUCUGGCCCCGGCGUCCCCGCCGGGGUCCGAGUUGUAAUCUGCAGAGGAUGCUUCCGGCGCGGCGCCUUCCGAGUUCCCUGGAACGGGACGCCACAGAGGGUGAGAGCCCCGUCCGGUCGGACGCCGGCGCCGGUGUGAAGCUCCUUCGGCGAGUCGAGUAGUUUGGGAAUGCUGCUCAAAACGGGAGGUAUAUGCCUUCUAAAGCUAAAUACCGGCCGGAGACCGAUAGCGCACAAGUAGAGUGAUCGAAAGAUGAAAAGCACUUUGGAAAGAGGGUUAAACAGUACGUGAAAUUGCUGAAAGGGAAGCGCUCGCGGCCAGACUCGGGCCCGGCGGAUCAUCCGGCGUUCCUCGCCGGUGCGCUCCGCCGGCCGCCCGGGCCAGCAUCGGCUCGCGGCGGGGGACAAAGGCGGCGGGAACGUGGCCCCCCCGGGGGUGUUAUAGCCCGCCGCGCAAUGCCCCGCCCGCGGGCCGAGGACCGCGCCCCCCUCGCGGGGGCAAGGAUGCUGGCGUAAUGGCCGCCAGCGACCCGUCUUGAAACACGGACCAAGGAGUCGUCUUCGUACGCGAGUGUUGGGGCGCCAAACCCCUACGCGCAAUGAAAGUGAACGCUGGUGGGACCCUCCCGUCCGCGGGCGGCGCACCACCGACCGAUCCUGAUGUUCUCGGAUGGAUUUGAGUAGGAGCGUACGGGGCCGGACCCGAAAGAAGGUGAACUAUGCCUGCGUAGGGUGAAGCCAGAGGAAACUCUGGUGGAGGCUCGCAGCGGUUCUGACGUGCAAAUCGAUCGUCAAACGUGGGCAUGGGGGCGAAAGACUAAUCGAACCUUCUAGA